UUCUUCAGGGCGGGGUGUGAUUCCCCACUGGCGGUAUAGUCCGCGAAUCGAUUAUCAAUAUCGACCGAAUCGGUGAAACUCCGAUACCAACAGUAUAGUCUGGAUGAGAGAAGAU
rnacentral:ncRNA from 1 species